GCAGUGGGGAAUAUUGCACAAUGGGCGGAAGCCUGAUGCAGCGACGCCGCGUGGAGGAAGAAGGCCUUCGGGUUGUAAACUUCUUUUAUAGGGGAAAAUAGUGAUGGUACCUUAUGAAUAAGCCACGGCUAACUCUGUGCCAGCAGCCGCGGUAAGACAGAGGUGGCGAGCGUUGUUCGGAAUUACUGGGCUUAAAGGGCGUGUAGGCGGCUUUGUAAGUCAGAUGUGAAAGCCCACGGCUUAACCGUGGAACUGCAUUUGAAACUGCUUGGCUAGAGUACGGGAGAGGGUGGCGGAAUUUCCGGUGUAGGAGUGAAAUCCGUAGAUAUCGGGAGGAACACCAGUGGCGAAGGCGGCCACCUGGACCGUAACUGACGCUGAGACGCGAAAGCGUGGGGAGCAAACAGGAUUAGAUACCCGGGUAGUCC
rnacentral:rRNA from 1 species